CAGAGAUCGAUAAGCUUCACAAAGUUCUGGUUUCGAAUAUCUUUUGGAACUCGCAUAGGGAGAGGAGAGAAGAAGAAACAGGAGCUCGCCCCCUUGUGAAAUCUCCUCUGCAGAGCAGGUAUUGGGACAAAUUUUAGGGUUUUUCUAGACCACCUAUCGUAUAGCUCAUACAGAGAGGCUGAUAACCGUGGAUGUGGUAUGUUUGUAUGGUUGAAAGAUGAAACACAU